GAUGAACGCUGGCGGCGUGCCUAAUACAUGCAAGUCGAGCGAACAGACUAUGAGCUUGCUCCUCUGACGUUAGCGGCGGACGUGUGAGUAACACGUUGAUAACCUACCUAUAAGACUGGGAUAACUUCGGGAAACCGGAGCUAAUACCGUAUAAUAUAUUGAACCUAAUUGUUCAAUAGUGAAAGACGGUUUUGCUGUCACUUAUAGAUGGAUCCGCGCCGCAUUAUCUAGUUGGUAAGGUAACGGCUUACCAAGGCAACGAUGCGUAGCCGACCUGAGAGGGUGAUCGGCCACACUGGAACUGAGACCCGCUCCAGACUCCUACGGGAGGAAGCAGUAGGGAAUCUUCCGCAAUGGGCGAAAGCCUGACGGAGCAACGCCGCGUGAGUGAUGAAGGUCUUCGGAUCGUAAAACUCUGUUAUUAGGGAAGAACAAAUGUGUAAGUAAAUAUGCACGUCUUGACGGUACCUAAUCAGAAAGCCACGGCUAACUACGUG
rnacentral:rRNA from 1 species